rnacentral:rRNA from 1 species
UACGUAGGGUGCAAGCGUUGUCCGGAAUUAUUGGGCGUAAAGAGCUCGUAGGCGGUCUGUUGCGUCGGCUGUGAAAACCCGGGGCUCAACUCCGGGCCUGCAGCCGAUACGGGCAGACUAGAGUUCGGCAGGGGAGACUGGAAUUCCUGGUGUAGCGGUGAAAUGCGUAGAUAUCAGGAGGAACACCGGUGGCGAAGGCGGCUUUCUGGACAGUAACUGACGCUGAGGCGCGAAAGCUAGGGGAGCAAACAGG